rnacentral:rRNA from 1 species
GACAGAGGCCUCAAGCGUUAGGCGGAAUCACUGGGCUUAAAGCGUGUGUAGGCGGAUCGUUAAGUGCCUUGUGAAAUCCCACGGCUUAACUGUGGAACUGCUUGGUAUACUGGCUGUCUUGAGCCACUUAGGGGCAACCGGAACAAACGGUGGAGCGGUGAAAUGCGUAGAUAUCGUUUGGAACGCCAAUGGUGAAAACAGGUUGCUGGGAGUGUGCUGACGCUGAGACACGAAAGCCAGGGGAGCAAACGGG